GCGGAGGAAAAGAAACUAACAAGGAUUCCCCUAGUAGCGGCGAGCGAAGCGGGAAGAGCUCAAAUUUAUAAUCUGGCACCUUCGGUGUCCGAGUUGUAAUCUCUAGAAAUGUUUUCCGCGUUGGACCGCACACAAGUCUGUUGGAAUACAGCGGCAUAGUGGUGAGACCCCCGUAUAUGGUGCGGACGCCCAGCGCUUUGUGAUACAUUUUCGAAGAGUCGAGUUGUUUGGGAAUGCAGCUCAAAUUGGGUGGUAAAUUCCAUCUAAAGCUAAAUAUUGGCGAGAGACCGAUAGCGAACAAGUACCGUGAGGGAAAGAUGAAAAGCACUUUGGAAAGAGAGUUAACAGUACGUGAAAUUGUUGGAAGGGAAACGCUUGAAGUCAGACUUGCUUGCCGAGCAAUCGGUUUGCAGGCCAGCAUCAGUUUUCCGGGAUGGAUAAUGGUAGAGAGAAGGUAGCAGUUUCGGCUGUGUUAUAGCUCUCUGCUGGAUACAUCUUGGGGGACUGAGGAACGCAGUGUGCCUUUGGCGGGGGUUUCGACCUCUUCACACUUAGGAUGCUGGUGGAAUGGCUUUAAACGACCCGUCUUGAAACACGGACCUCCUGUGUG
rnacentral:rRNA from 1 species